rnacentral:rRNA from 1 species
CGUGAGCUGGGUUUAAAACGUCGUGAGACAGUUUGGUCCCUAUCUGCCGUGGGCGUUGGAAAUUUGAAGGGGGCUGCUCCUAGUACGAGAGGACCGGAGUGGACAGACCUCUGGUGUACCGGUUGUCACGCCAGUGGCAUUGCCGGGUAGCUAAGUCUGGAAGAGAUAACCGCUGAAAGCAUCUAAGCGGGAAACUUGCCUUGAGAUGAGAUUUCCCAGAGCCUUGAGCUCUUUGAAGGGUCGUUCGAGACCAGGACGUUGAUAGGCUGGGUGUGGAAGUGCAGUAAUGCAUUAAGCUAACCAGUACUAAUUGCCCGUACGGCUUGUCCCU